UCCAACGCGUUAUCAACCUGC
rnacentral:siRNA from 1 species